rnacentral:rRNA from 1 species
UACGUAUGGUGCACGCGUUAAUCGGAAUUACUGGGCGUAAAGCGUGCGCAGGCGGUUAUAUCAGACAGAUGUGAAAUCCCCGGGCUCAACCUGGGAACUGCAUUUGUGACUGUAUAGCUAGAGUACGGCAGAGGGGGAUGGAAUUCCGCGUUUAGCAGUGAAAUGCGUAGAUAUGCGGAGGAACACCGAUGGCGAAGGCAAUCCCCUGGGCCUGUACUGACGCUCAUGCAAGAAAGCGUGGGGAGAACACAGGAGGAGAUAACCCGGGAGUCC